GAUGAACGCUAGCGGCAGGCUUAACACAUGCAAGUCGAGGGGUAUAGUUCUUCGGAGCUAGAGACCGGCGCACGGGUGCGUAACGCGUAUGCAAUCUACCUUUUGCAGAGGGAUAGCCCAGAGAAAUUUGGAUUAAUACCUCAUGGUAUGUGAGAAUGGCAUCAUUUUCACAUUAAAGUCACAACGGCAAAAGAUGAGCAUGCGUCCCAUUAGCUAGUUGGUAAGGUAACGGCUUACCAAGGCAACGAUGGGUAGGGGUCCUGAGAGGGAGAUCCCCCACCCUGGUACUGUGACACGGACCAGACUCCUACGGGAGGCAGCAGUGAGGAAUAUUGGACAAUGGGCGCAAGCUUGAUCCAGCCAUGCCGCGUGCAGGAUGACGGUCCUAUGGAUUGUAAACUGCUUUUGUACAGGAAGAAACACUGGUUCGUGAACCAGCUUGACGGUACUGUAAGAAUAAGGAUCGGCUAACUCCGUGCCAGCCGCCGCAGUAAGAC
rnacentral:rRNA from 1 species